rnacentral:rRNA from 1 species
AUGGCGACCGAUGCGGCUGGGAGCGAACGCGCACGGGUGGGGGAGUUCGGCGAGCUCUUGCGGACCUGCUGGCCAUCGUGUGAGCCAGCAACCGCCGCUGCCGCCAGCAGCAGAAGCAGGGGGCGCGGGCGGAGAUCCCUUCGUGGGGCCGGCAUCGGCCGAGGAAGACCCCGAUGGCGCUGCCGGAUGAGAAGCCCGCGGCCGAUGAUGAUAGGAGCGAGGGCAUCGCCAGCCCGGACACCCCGCUCGCCUUCCCCGAGGACGACGAGCAUGACGAGGCGGCGGCGGCAAAGGAUGAGGCCAAGGCCAGCGCACAAGACAAGUGGUCGAGGUGGAGCUAUAGGCCAUCAAGGUUGCCUAUGUCGUGGGAUGAGGAAGAGGAUGGCGAAUGGGAGACACCGAAGAUUGACAACACUACUCCCCAAGUGUGAAGAGGCACCUGGUUGUGGUGAAUGGAAGAGGCCGAUGAAGCAGAAUCCGUCCAACAAAGAGAAGUGGCAUGCGCCCCUGAUUGACAAACCCAGAUGUUCUAAUGUAUCAAACGAUGCCAUGAUAGUUGGCAAUCAUGCUUCAAGUAUGAAAUCAGCUCAACCAUCUCCAAUAGUCUUCUUUCUUGCUAUCCAGGUCUUAAAAGAGCAGAAAAUCUUUGAACAAGGGGUGGAUGGGAGUACACAGUUUGGUCCCCUGUGCAGAAUAAAACAGUUUUAUGAUACAUAA